UGCGUAGGAAUUUGCCUUAUAGUGGGGGAGUAACCUGGGGGAAACCCAGGCUAAUACCGCAUGUGGCCUAAGGGUUAAAGCUGGGGCGAACCUGGCGCUAUGAGAUAAGCCUACGUCAGAUUAGCUUGUUGGUGGGGUAAAGGCCUACCAAGGCGAAGAUCUGUAGCUGGUCUGAGAGGAUGAUCAGCCACACUGGGACUGAGACACGGCCCAGACUCCUACGGGAGGCAGCAGUGGGGAAUAUUGGACAAUGGGCGAAAGCCUGAUCCAGCAAUACCGCGUGUGUGAAGAAGGCCUGCG
rnacentral:rRNA from 1 species